AGCCUUUAGUACUCGCUCAACACAUUAUAGACACCAGAAAAGUCAUUCUGGAGAAAAACCAUACAAGUGUGAAGAAUGUACCAAAGUAUUUUCCUACCCUUCAUUGCUUAAGGUACAUCAAAGAACUCAUUCUACAGAUAAAUCUUACAAGUGUGAAGAAUGUGGGAAACUAUUUUACUGUCCUUUAUUGCUUAAGAAGCAUCAAGUAAUUCAUUCUGCAGAGAAACCCUACAAGUGUACAGAAUGCAGCAAAGCAUUUCACUACCCUUCAUUGCUUAAGUGACAUCAAAAAAUCCAUGCUGGAAAGAAACCCUAUAAGUGUAAAAACUGCGACAGGGCAUUUUAUUCUUCUGCAUUCCUUAAGCACCAUCAAAGAAUUCAUUUUGAAGAGAAUUCCUACAAGUGUGGAGAAUGUGGCAAAA
rnacentral:lncRNA from 1 species